UAAUAAUCUAAGAUAUCUAGCAAAGCUUCGUGCUAUCAAAACUAAAGCACGGAGAAAAUCCAUAUGUUAAACCGUGGAUUCUUCCCUUAAAGCUUAGGAUAGCUGGUCCACAUCUUGGAACAACCUCCCAAGGUUCUCAUCAUGAUUCGUGAGUGAAUCUCUUUCUUCCACUUCAAUUUCUAAUAAGCUCAAACAAGUACAAUGAAGGACACAUUGAACGGCAGAUUGUCAGUUGAGAAACAUAUAACUGAAGAAAACUCUCAAACUUAAUGCCUCAAGGAUCUUUUAUUAUGAUGGUGUCAAACACACUUGUAUGGUUGGUUCAUAGUACAUUGGUGAAGAUUUCUCGUCGUUUUUCCCAUUAGAUUCCCAAUAAAUGGUAUUAAAUCAAUGGAGGAUACUUAAAAG
rnacentral:sRNA from 1 species